GAUGAACGCUGGCGGCGUGCCUAACACAUGCAAGUCGAACGGAGUCCCGCCUUAGAUUCCGUCGGGUGAGAGUGGGGAGGACUGGGUGGCGGACGGGUUAGUAACACUUCCCCAACCUGGCUCAUAGCGGGGUGUAACAGAGACUAAUACCUGCUAUUACCGCAUAGGCACACACUGCCUCAUGGCAGGGUGUUGUAAGAGAAUCGCUAUGAGGCGGGCCCGCGUCUGAUUAGAGUGGUGGCAGGGUAAGAGCCUACCGAGGCGAGGAUCAGUAGCCGACUGGAGAGGAUGAACGGCCACAACGGGAAUGAGAGACGGCCGAGAGUACUACGGGAGGAAGGAGUGGGGGAUAUUGCAGAAUGGGGGGAAGACUGAUGGAGCCACGCGGCGUGAGUGAAGAAGUAGCUAGGGAUGUAAAGCUCUAUCAGCAGGGAAGAUAAUGACAGUACCUGAAUAAGAAGCGCCGGCUAACUACGUG
rnacentral:rRNA from 1 species